CGGAUGUAGUUUAGUGGUAGAACGACAGCUUCCCAAGCUGUAGGUGCGGGUUCGAUUCCCGUCAUCCG
rnacentral:tRNA from 2 species